ACACAUGCAAGUCGAGGGGCAGCAUGGUCUUAGCUUGCUAAGGCCGAUGGCGACCGGCGCACGGGUGAGUAACACGUAUCCAACCUGCCGUCUACUCUUGGACAGCCUUCUGAAAGGAAGAUUAAUACAAGAUGGCAUCAUGAGUCCGCAUGUUCACAUGAUUAAAGGUAUUCCGGUAGACGAUGGGGAUGCGUUCCAUUAGAUAGUAGGCGGGGUAACGGCCCACCUAGUCUUCGAUGGAUAGGGGUUCUGAGAGGAAGGUCCCCCACAUUGGAACUGAGACACGGUCCAAACUCCUACGGGAGGCAGCAGUGAGGAAUAUUGGUCAAUGGGCGAGAGUCUGAACCAGCCAAGUAGCGUGAAGGAUGACUGCCCUAUGGGUUGUAAACUUCUUUUAUAAAGGAAUAAAGUCGGGUAUGGAUACCCGUUUGCAUGUACUUUAUGAAUAAGGAUCGGCUAACUCCGUGCCAGCAGCCGCGGUAAUACGGAGGAUCCGAGCGUUAUCCGGAUUUAUUGGGUUUAAAGGGAGCGUAGAUGGAUGUUUAAGUCAGUUGUGAAAGUUUGCGGCUCAACCGUAAAAUUGCAGUUGAUACUGGGUAUCUUGAGUGCAGUUGAGGCAGGCGGAAUUCGUGGUGUAGCGGUGAGAUGCUUAGAUAUCACGAAGAACUCCGAUUGCGAAGGCAGCCUGCUAAGCUGCAACUGACAUUGAGGCUCGAAAGUGUGGGUAUCAAACAGGAUUAGAUACCCUGGUAGUCCACACGG
rnacentral:rRNA from 1 species